rnacentral:rRNA from 1 species
UACGUAGGGCGCAAGCGUGUCCGGAUUUAUUGGGCGUAAAGAGCUCGUAGGCGGCCUGUCGCGUCGGAUGUGAAAGCCGGGGCUUAACCCCGGGUCUGCAUUCGAUACGGGCAGGCUAGAGUGUGGUAGGGGAGAUCGGAAUUCCUGGUGUAGCGGUGAAAUGCGCAGAUAUCAGGAGGAACGACCGGUGGCGAAGGCGGAUCUCUGGGCCGAUACUGACGCUGGAGGAGCGAAAAGCGUGGGGGAGCGAAACAGGA